UACGUAGGGUUCGAGCGUUGUCCGGAAUUACUGGGCGUAAAGAGCUCGUAGGUGGUUUGUCGCGUUGUUCGUGAAAACUCACAGCUUAACUGUGGGCGUGCGGGCGAUACGGGCAGACUUGAGUACUGCAGGGGAGACUGGAAUUCCUGGUGUAGCGGUGGAAUGCGCAGAUAUCAGGAGGAACACCGGUGGCGAAGGCGGGUCUCUGGGCAGUAACUGACGCUGAGGAGCGAAAGCGUGGGGAGCGAACAGG
rnacentral:rRNA from 1 species